rnacentral:lncRNA from 1 species
AAUAUGUAUGGUAUUUAUUGUCAUUCAUACUUGAAGGCACCGGGAGGGGAAGAAAAUAUUAAUCAGGCAAAAAAACGUAAAAGAGACAUUACUUCUAUGAGACUCUAGCAUUCGUAGGAACACUCUCUGGUUCACAAGGAUUGACCGAACACCUCGAUAUGUGGCUCUCCAUCUGAGGCUUGCUCCAAAUGGCCCUCCACUAUUCCAGGCACGUGGGUGUCUCCCCUAACUCUCCCUGCUCUCCUGAGCCCAUGCUGCCUAUCACCAAUCAGUGCAGGUCCUUUCUGAAGAGCUCGGGUGCAUUCUCUCCAUCCCACCUCUUUUCCCAAGAAAGAAGCCACCUGUUCCAAGACACGAAGUGGGACAUUCCCCUUCCACCUCCUUCUCCAAAGUUCCCCAGGUGAUCAUCACAGGGUAGGGAGACAAGUUCCCAGAUUUCAGUUACAAGACAUAGGACGCUGGCAUGAACACACACACACACACACACACACACACACACACACACACCUCGAAGAGGUAGCCACAAGGGUCAUUAAACACAUGACGACUGAUUUCCAAAAACGUGGAUGCAGUUCAUCCUUGCCAAAGCCGAGGGUGCAAACGCGGAAUGGCGGAGAGAUUCCAGAGGCUCACCAAAACCUGCCAGGAAUAUUUUCCUGACCCUGGGGGCAGAGGUUGGAAAUAUUGAGGACAUUUCUUGGGACACACGAAGAAGCUGAGGGACCAGGCAUUUUCCUUUCCACUACGAAUGACCUACACCGAGGGCAUUUCACUUUCCCCUGGAAAUCCCCUAUGGUGAGGUACCGCCCCAAGCCCCCACCCCCACUUCCGCGAAUCCACGUGGCUCAGUCUCUACACGGGUGUCACUCCAGGUAGGCUUCUCAACGCUCUCGGCUCAAAGGACAAUCCCACAUCCAAACGCAAAGCCCACACCUCAUCCCUUCCCAGAAAACGCGCAAAAAUUCAAUGGGAGAGAGGUCCCGAGUCAUCAAAGUCCCAGAUGUGGUGAGCCCCCGGAAGGAAAAACGGUGUCGUCCUUAGGAUGUCCGGAACAAGAGCUAGGCUUCCGGAGCUAGGCAGCCAUCUAUCUCCGUGAGCCAGCGGGAGGGAGACCGCCGGGAGGCGAAGUGGGGCGGGGCCAUCCUUCUUUCUGCUCUGCUGCUGCCGGGGAGCUCCUGGCUGGCGUCCAAGCGGCAGGAGGCCGCCGUCCUGCAGGGCGCCGUAGAGUUUGCGGUGCAGAGUCGGGAUCGCCUCUGGGGCAGAGGGUUCGAGCUUUUCCAAGGCGAGGGUGCUGGCUCCCGUGCGCACCUAAGGCCCCCCAGGAGCGGGCGCAAAGGGCGGCGGGCCCGCGGGCCAGGGCCCCGCAGCCAGCAGGCUGUCGAGCGUGGCCAGCGCCCAGUGCAGGGCGGCCCCGGCGUGCGCCAGCUGCCAGGUGAGCCAGGCGCGCUGCGAGGCGCUGGGCUGCGUGCCGCCGGCGGGCCCCGGGAGGAAGGCGCCCCCCGGGGCCCGAAGCUCGCCCAGGGCCACGUCCAGCCCGCCCAGGUGGUUGACGACUCGCGAGAGCGGGCACGGGAGGGAGACCCAGGCUUCUGGGGAGUGGCGUCGGCGGCGCUUUGGGGAGGUGGGUCGCUCCUCCCGGACGUCAACGCGGCGUUGCGGGCCGCUCGUCCUCCCUGGCGAUCUAGGCCGGUGCUUUGGCUCCUCCAGGCGCCUCGGGCUGGGAACAGAACCUGCGCGGGAGACAGAGCGGGAGGUGUCAGAGGGACUGCGCGCAGCGCUAGGGGACCCAUUUCCAAGGUCCCGAAGCCGCUCCCGACCCCGCCUCCCCCUGCCCUCCAUCCCCCACCCCUCCGCGGCUCGCCUCCGCGCCCCAUCCUCUCGGCCCCUCCCUGCAUCCUGGGGACUCCGGUGCCCCGUCCGGGGUGCCCUCCCCUCCGCCCAUUCAAACUUGAAGCAC